AGUAAAUAGAUACCCGGGUAGUCCACGCCGUAAACGAUGUCGACUUGGAGGUUGUGCCCUUGAGGCGUGGCUUCCGGAGCUAAACGCGUUAAAGUCGACCGCCUGGGGAGUACGGCCGCAAGGUUAAAACUCAAAUGAAUUGACGGGGGCCCGCACAAGCGGUGGAGCAUGUGGUUUAAUUCGAUGCAACGCGAAGAACCUUACCUACUCUCGACAUCCAGAGAACUUAGCAGAGAUGCUUUGGUGCCUUCGGGAACUCUGAGACAGGUGCUGCAUGGCUGUCGUCAGCUCGUGUUGUGAAAUGUUGGGUUAAGUCCCGCAACGAGCGCAACCCUUAUCCUUUGUUGCCAGCGGUUAGGCCGGGAACUCAAAGGAGACUGCCAGUGAUAAACUGGAGGAAGGUGGGGAUGACGUCAAGUCAUCAUGGCCCUUACGAGUAGGGCUACACACGUGCUACAAUGGCGCAUACAAAGAGAAGCGACCUCGCGAGAGCAAGCGGACCUCAUAAAGUGCGUCGUAGUCCGGAUUGGAGU
rnacentral:rRNA from 1 species